GACGAACGCUGGCGGCGUGCUUAACACAUGCAAGUCGAACGAAGAGCGAUGGAAGCUUGCUUCUAUCAAUCUUAGUGGCGAACGGGUGAGUAACGCGUAAUCAACCUGCCCUUCAGAGGGGGACAACAGUUGGAAACGACUGCUAACACCGCAUACGAUCUAAUCUCGGCAUCGAGGAUAGAUGAAAGGUGGCCUCUACAUGUAAGCUAUCACUGAAGGAGGGGAUUGCGUCUGAUUAGCUAGUUGGAGGGGUAACGGCCCACCAAGGCGAUGAUCAGUAGCCGGUCUGAGAGGAGGAACGGCCACAUUGGGACUGAGACACGGCCCAGACUCCUACGGGAGGCAGCAGUGGGGAAUCUUCCGCAAUGGACGAAAGUCUGACGGAGCAACGCCGCGUGAGUGAUGACGGCCUUCGGGUUGUAAAGCUCUGUUAAUCGGGACGAAAGGCCUUCUUGCGAAUAGUGAGAAGGAUUGACGGUACCGGAAUAGAAAGCCACGGCUAACUACGUG
rnacentral:rRNA from 1 species